AUGGUAGGAGUUAGUGCUGGGAAAGGGAAGUGGUGUUGGUUGGUUAUUGUCUGUCAUUUUGUGUAUUGUCUGUCAUUUUUGUUUGAGUAGCUGACAUCCUUCUCUCUAUUAUCUCUCUAUUGUUUCUGUCUAUGCUCAGGAAAGAAGAAAUGUCCGAAGAAGGACCAAUGCGGGUUAUUACAUGAUUUGGAUGUAUGGUUAAUCAAUACACAUAAAUUUGUUAGUUUGUCCCGCUCAUGGACACUAUUUUAUUGAUCACCGACUUAUGGAUUUUUGCUGCAUGUAGGUGCAAUGUUUUUGAAAAUAAAGGUUUCAAGCAUGGUUCACUUUUAACUGGCGAU
rnacentral:lncRNA from 1 species